rnacentral:rRNA from 1 species
UACGGAGGGUGCGAGCGUUGUCCGGAAUCACUGGGCGUAAAGGGCGCGUAGGUGGCCUGUGGAAGUCUGCGGUGAAAGCCCGGCGCUCAACGCCGGGUCGGCCGUGGAUACUCGUCGGGCUUGAGCUUACGUAGAGGCAGAUGGAAUUCCGGGUGGUAGGCGGAUGGAAUGCGUAGAGAUCCGGAAGAACACCGGUGGCGAAGGCGGGUCUGCUGGGGUAAUGCUGACACUGAUGCGCGGACAGCGUGGGAGCAAACAGGG